rnacentral:rRNA from 1 species
AUUGAACGCUGGCGGCAGGCUUAACACAUGCAAGUCGAGCGGAGAUGAGGUGCUUGCACCUUAUCUUAGCGGCGGACGGGUGAGUAAUGCUUAGGAAUCUGCCUAUUAGUGGGGGACAACAUUCCGAAAGGAAUGCUAAUACCGCAUACGCCCUACGGGGGAAAGCAGGGGAUCUUCGGACCUUGCGCUAAUAGAUGAGCCUAAGUCGGAUUAGCUAGUGGGUGGGGUAAAGGCCUACCAAGGCGACGAUCUGUAGCGGGUCGGAGAGGAUGAUCCGCCACACUGGGACUGAGACACGGCCCAGACUCCUACGGGAGGCAGCAGUGGGGAAGAUUGGACAAUGGGCGGAAGCCUGAUCCAGCCAUGCCGCGUGUGUGAAGAAGGCCUUUUGGUUGUAAAGCACUUUAAGCGAGGAGGAGGCUACCUGGAUUAAUACUCUAGGAUAGUGGACGUUACUCGCAGAAUAAGCACCGGCUAACUCUGUGCCAGCCGCCGCAGUAAUAC